UAGAAGGUCACAAAUGGCAGUCACAUGAUCCAGGAUGCUGCAACCAUCACAAAUAAAUGGCAAUUGCUAAGUGCCUGACUUUUGAUCAGCUGACCAUGGGGAUGCUGUCACAGUCCCACAUGUAAGGACUAAGUUGAUCAGCACCAUAUGACUCUUGAGAGUGGCUCAAGCUGCCUUCUGUACCAGUUCUACUUUCUGGAUAAUUUUCAAGGUCAGGCUCAGUGAUAUCUCUAGACAAUCUUGGGCACACAUGUGGUUCCUCCAGAUGGUAGGCAAUGGUACUUUAUCCUUGGAGCUCUCUUCCUGAUGUAGUCCUGCAG